rnacentral:rRNA from 1 species
GACGAACGCUGGCGGCGUGCUUAACACAUGCAAGUCGAACGGAAAGGCCUGCUUUCCCUUGUGGAUUGCGGGUACUCGAGUGGCGAACGGGUGAGUAACACGUGAGUGAUCUGCCCCCAACUUGGGUAUAAGCCUGGGAAACUGGGUCUAAUUCCCGAUAGGACUGCAGGGUGGUGCCUGUGGUGGAAAACGAUUUUCUAGUGGUUGGGGAUGAGCUCGCGGCCUAUCAGCUUGUUGGUGGGGUAAUGGCCUACCAAGGCGGCGACGGGGGGCCGGCCUGGGGGGGGGGACGGACAAAUUGGGCAGAGAUACAGGCCAGGACCCCAGGGGGGGGGGGGAGAGGGGGAAAUGGCGAAAGGGGGGGGAGCCGGGUGCAGCGGGGGGGGGGGGGGGGUGCGGGCGUUGGGGUUGUAACUUCUUUGGGAAGGGAAGGAGCCCGCCUGUUUGGAGGGGUGGUGAGGGUAGUGAUAGAAGAAGCACCGGCUAACUACGU